rnacentral:rRNA from 1 species
GUCGAGCGGACCUCUUCGGAGGUUAGCGGCGGACGGGUGAGUAACACGCUGGGCAACCUGCCUGUAAGACUGGGAUAACUCCGGGAAACCGGAGCUAAUACCGGAUAGUAUCUUGAACCGCAUGGUUCAAGCUGGAAAGACGGUUUCGGCUGUCACUUACAGAUGGGCCCGCGGCGCAUUAGCUAGUUGGUGAGGUAAUGGCUCACCAAGGCAACGAUGCGUAGCCGACCUGAGAGGGUGAUCGGCCACACUGGGACUGAGACACGGCCCAGACUCCUACGGGAGGCAGCAGUAGGGAAUCUUCCGCAAUGGACGAAAGUCUGACGGAGCAACGCCGCGUGAGUGAUGAAGGUUUUCGGAUCGUAAAACUCUGUUGUUAGGGAAGAACAAGUGCGAGAGUAACUGCUCGCACCUUGACGG